rnacentral:rRNA from 1 species
AACGAACGCUGGCGGCAGGCUUAACACAUGCAAGUCGAGCGCCCCGCAAGGGGAGCGGCAGACGGGUGAGUAACGCGUGGGAAUCUACCCAUCUCUACGGAAUAACGCAUGGAAACGUGUGCUAAUACCGUAUACGUCCUUCGGGAGAAAGAUUUAUCGGAGAUGGAUGAGCCCGCGUUGGAUUAGCGAGUUGGUGGGGUAAAGGCCUACCAAGGCGACGAUCCAUAGCUGGUCUGAGAGGAUGAUCAGCCACACUGGGACUGAGACACGGCCCAGACUCCUACGGGAGGCAGCAGUGGGGAACAGUGGACAAUGGGCGCAAGCCUGAUCCAGCCAUGCCGCGUGAGUGAUGAAGGCCCUAGGGUUGUAAAGCUCUUUCACCGGUGAAGAUAAUGACGGUAACCGGAGAAGAAGCCCCGGCUAACUUCGUGCCAGCAGCCGCCGUAACAC